GGGUGGUUAGCUCAGGGGUAGAGCACUGCCUUCACACGGCAGGGGUCACUGGUUCGAUCCCAGUAUCACCCACCA
rnacentral:tRNA from 1 species